UGUACGCGCAGUAAUGUGUUUAGCUGACCAAUACUAAUCGAACGAAAUUUUAAUC
rnacentral:rRNA from 1 species